rnacentral:tRNA from 1 species
GUCCCUUCGUCUAGAGGCCUAGGACUCCGCCCUUUCACGGCGGUAACCGGGGGUCGAAUCCCCUAGGGGACGCCA